rnacentral:lncRNA from 1 species
CCCCCGCAACAUGUAGGUUUCAUUGCUAUAGAAUUAAUUCUCGUGUUAUUGGUUAUCAGUUUGACGGCAGUUGGUCCUUGGAUAUAUGUAAUAAAUGUAACCACAUUAAUAGAAAGUAAGUCAAGAGUAUGGAUAGUCUAGGAAUGCACACAAUAAGCAAUACAUUUUUUUUUCUUUGAUACAUGUAAAAUGAUAAACUAGUAAACUGUAUAGUCAAAAUGAACCAGAAUGACUCUAUGAAUUAAGCAAACAUCCGAAAAAAUAUGAUAGAAACAUUAAAAU